rnacentral:lncRNA from 1 species
GUUCCUGGAGGGCUCCGCGGCCGCUCCCGCCUGGGACUCGGGCUCGAGGGAGGAGCUCCGGCGCCCGGCUCCCAAACCCCCCACCCUGGGCGAGUUCCUGCCCCAGCAGAAGCCACGGGGCCGGGGCCGGGGCCUCGGGGCCAAGUCCUACAGCAUGCACGACAACCGCUGGGAGGAGAAGGAGCCAGAGCCAGCGCCCGCGGCCGAGAGCUGGGAGACAGAGGAAACACCAACCGAGCCCCCCCUGGAGCCCCCCCAUUCCCUGACCCCCGAGGAGGAGGAGGAGGAGGAGGAGGAGGAAGAGCAAUGGGAGGAUGUCAGC